CCGCACAGCCUGGAUGAAUAUAGUGAACGUGAGUGUCUAUUCCUCCUGCUGUUAAUAUUCUUCCUUCUCCUGCUAAAGCUUCAGUUCCAACACCAACUACAAAGUCAACAUCAUCCAUUGUAUCUGGGUUGCCCCCUUUACCAAUAGCAAGUAUCUUUCCAUCUUUAAUUCCAACAUCUGCUUUAUAUAUCCCAGUAUAAUCAACUAUUGUUGCUCCUGUUAUAAUUAAAUCAGCAACUUCUGGGUUUUUAUUUGUUUGUGUGGCAUUUUGCCCCAUACCAUCUCUAAG
rnacentral:sRNA from 1 species